GCUAUUUUAGUUCAGGUAAGAAUAGCUAUUUUGUAAGUGGCAGGGUAGAGUAGUU
rnacentral:tRNA from 1 species